rnacentral:rRNA from 1 species
GUAGGUGGCAAGCGUUGUCCGGAAUUAUUGGGCGUAAAGCGCGCGCAGGCGGGGUUUUUAAGUCUGAUGUGAAAGCCCACGGGCUCAACCGUGGAGGGUCAUUGGAAACUGGAGAACUUGAGUACAGAAGAGGAAAGCGGAAUUCCACGUGUAGCGGUGAAAUGCGUAGAGAUGUGGAGGAACACCAGUGGCGAAGGCGGCUUUCUGGUCUGUAACUGACGCUGAGGCGCGAAAGCGUGGGGAGCAAACAGGAUUAGAUACCCUGGUAGUCCACGCCGUAAACGAUGAGUGCUAAGUGUUAGGGGGUUUCCGCCCCUUAGUGCUGCAGCUAACGCAUUAAGCACUCCGCCUGGGGAGUACGGCCGCAAGGCUG